UUCUUCACUGCAACCCCUGUCUCACAGAUUUCCUCGUUGUUUUGAAAAAAGAUUGAGGAGUGCCCACUACCUUCCUCCCAUGAACUUUACAUGAUGGUCAACUUCUGUAAGUUCUUGUAAUAGAGGACGGAUUGAAAGAGACAGGAAGAAUAAUCUAGAAAGAGCUUCCCAGUUGGAGGCAGUGCUUAUGCGAUCCCCACCUCCCAGCUGAGGAAACGGAAUAAGACAGUUGCUGCUCUCACAAGAUGCACAGCCGGGCGGGCCAGCCAGAGAAGUGGUGACGAUUAAUAACGCGAGCAGGAGCACACUCUCGUAAAACUGCACAGAGCCAUCAUCACGCUCCUGGGCCAAGGAAAGAGGAGAUUCUUGAUUUCUCAGCAGCAUUGCACAGACAGAGUCUUGCUUUGUUGCCC